UCUCACUGCAAGAGUAGAACAGACAGGCCAAGCGGCCAGUGAGUGGGCAGACACAGUGCUGUGGUUUCCUUGGCAACCCUCAGGGCCCUGCCAUUUGCCAGGCUCCUGUAGGGUGGCAGUUUCAGGGUUCAAUCCGCUCUCUUCUCAGGUGAGCACAGAGGUUGGAGGGGACCCAGAGGAAGGGGGAGGAGAGAGUGCACUGAGGUGUGUGCUGUGGGCAGAAGGAUUGUUCAUUCCAGGGAACCCUGUGUUCCCAUGGACCAGGGAGGUGGAUGUGGCUGAGCCAUUCGCCACCAGGGCUGGAUGGACUGAGUCAUCUGGGGUUUGGGUGUCCCAGGAGAAAGAGCACCAGGGCUCUGAAUCAUGACAAUUAUCUCUGACUGCCAACAGGGAGAUUAGGAUUCCCCCAGCCCCUCAAGGAAUGUCCGCCUUGAAUCCAUCUAGCGAUUUGCCAAGGAGCCUGGCUGUCAAAAGUGGGUCUGAGAAAUAAAGUGAAUAAAUAAAAUAAUGAAAAGAAAAAUGGGUCUGAGGCUGAGUCCCAGGGUACAGUAGGCCUGUGGUCCCUGUUACCUAGGGAGCUGAGUUAGGAGAAGAGUAAGUUCAAGGCUUACUGGGCUACAGAGUGAGUUUACAGCUAGCCUGAGCAACGAACACCGAACACCGAGUGUAGACGGCCCCACUACCUGCCUGCUCCAGAGCAGGCAGGUGGAUGGCAUCUUACUUCCUGUCCACCAGGAGAGCCUGAGGAAGGCCAUUUGGGGAUGGUGUGGAAAUGGGAGCCCUCGCCUCCAGCAACAUACCCUGUGCUCAAUGUACUAAGCUGCUGCUUAUUAUAAACACUGAGAAACUUGUAGGCUGGCACCUAGCGUGUGUGUGCACACGCCAGCCUGUUCCAGCACUGCCCCCUCAGCUCGGGCUGCAUCCGUUGGGAGGAGAGAGAGAGAGAGAGAGAGAGAGAGAGAGAGAGAGAGAUUGGCUUGCUGUUUUAGGAGCAUCCAGUUAGGAUGGGCUCCUUCGCUGGGGCUGCUGGGGCUGCUGGGGCUGCUGGGGCUGCUGGGGCUGCAUGCCGGGGAACAGGCUGGGUCUCAACCCUGCUGGUCUCCUCAGGCUGAGGGAGCUCCCAGCGCUGACUGAUGAGUACUGAAUGGCCAUAUAGGAAGCCGGGGGUUGAGAGCAGCGCUCACCGGGCCCCACCCAGCCUAAACAAGAGCUCGCUGUACUUGCCAGAGCACUGGCUGGUCCAGAAGACCCAGUUGCUGAGGCAAAUGAUCAGGCUGCAUGACAUGAUCCUGGGGAUCAAUGUGCUGAGCAGGGGCGCUUCCUGCAGCCCUGGCCCCAAGGCAUGGUGUCUAGGGACACUCGGUGGCUCGGCUCACAGAAGGCCCCAGAGUUGGAGAAGCCGAGAUGCUGGUUCCUGCCUGCCUCAAUAGCCAUGACUGGAGGCAGCAAAUGGCACAGGAGAGACAUGUGGGCAUUAAGUACCAAACGCUUAAUGUCUUGUCAGCUGCAGCUAGAACCUGGCUCAGACAGUUAUUUUUAACUAGAGUUGGACAAAAAUACCAGAGCCCAUCCGAGGCAGUGACUCAGGCUCGUUCCCAUCCCUUGGGAGCCAAGGGGGCUCUGCAGGCUAGAUCCGUGGCCGGCCCUUGGCUGCAGCAGGUUAUGCGUGGGUCCACUGUGGCCUCACACUGGACCAUAGUAGGCACAGUGCCAGCUCUAGGGAUGCCUCUCAACAAGAUGGUUCCCCAGCUUGGUUAGCCUCCCUGCCUCUCCUGUCAGUCCAGGUCUUCUGUGUCCUGCUCUGCUUAAAUCUUUUGGGAGGGCAGGAAAGGGGAGAUGCAAGGAGCCAUCCUGUCCUCCCCUCCUGGGGCUGGUAGAGCAGGGUGUACACUGGGUUCUCUCAGAUUCCCUGGGGAUGGAUCCUAGAGGGGCUCAUUCAGUGUCAUCUUGAGGAACCACCAUGCGGAGAGUCAGCAGCACCCUGCCUUGUUCCCGUGCUUCUGCGGGCCCUGCUGAUAGAAGCCUUCUCAGUCAUGGCUUGGCCAGAGCGUCAUCAACAGGGUGUCAUCAGCCAUAGCCUUCCCUUUCUUUGGAUGUUUAGGGAACUGCUCUAGUUUUGUGUGGGUCUGGGAGAGGCAGGAAGAGCAUCCCAGGAGCUGGUAGGACUUUAUCUGGAAAGCAGAGUGCUGGUGUCACAGUCUCGCCUGCUCUCCUUCCUUUCCCCCUUCUGUCCCAGCCUGGUGGAGUAAAUGCUGCCCGGGACAGGAAGCAGAUAGAAGGGGAGGAAGGGACAGUCUUGUUUCUCAGGAGCCUUGCAGCACAGGGCCUCCCUCCCUUCCAGAGGAUGCCACUGUUGGGAGGAAGGCAGGGAACAGGGACCUGGGUUGUUCUGCACUGUGAUGCAGGCAGCUCUGGGCCCCCUUCUUUGGCCUGUGCUGGCUCCCACGUCCCAGGGAGGGUCUCUCUUUCUGACCCAGGAAAGUGCGGGGCCUCCUCUCCUUUUCAUGGGUAGUGCUGGGCUUCAGCCUGCCCCAGGGAGCUUGCUUGGAGUGACUGUGUCCUGGCCCUCUGGUGACAUGGGAGGCGGUCACAGAAAGGCAAAGUACAAACACAAGGAGGAGCUUUUCUCACUGGUACACCCAGUCAUGUUUCUGGGCCUGCCACCUCUACCCACAGCUGCAGAUUCUGUCUGUGUCAAACCCUGAACUCUCAAUUCCUAGCAUUCCUCUCGAUGGAGUGAGAAGCAAUUAGGACAUCUUGGGAAAGAAAGGAUGCCAUGCCUCCACAUGCCUCCCUCUUCUUUCUUCUGAGAUGAGAUCUCACUGUAUAUAGAUCAGGCUGACCUUGAACCUGUGCCUCAGCUUCCUGUCCUAGAUUCCUGGGUCGGGUACUAUAAGCCCAGGAGGCUGCCUUUGAUUCAUUUGGGACCUCUAAAUUCAAGUCUAGGGCUACAGGCCUGGAUUCCGGUCCUUGGGCUUGGGCAAGCCCCUGUGGGAUGUCUCUUACAGCCAUAAAGUAUACGUGAGAAUCUAGUCUUCACCUACUCUGUGGUGAGGGCAGGUUAAGAGUUAUUUCAGUAUUUACCUCAAGGCCCUGAGUCCCAGAAAUACAGAAAAUAAGUGGAUGGUUGGAGACAGGGUCUUUUCCAUCCUCUGGAGACGAAUGUACAGAGUCAUUUAGAAAGACAUGAGCUCUGUGGAAUGUGGGCACUAUCCAGAGGGAGGGUCACUUCUUUAGUCAAGUGCUGAGACCCUCCACGAGAGAUGGUUCAGGAGAGCCGCUUUGCAGACUUGGCGCAUGCUCUCUGCACAUGUUCACAGAGCGAGCGCCAUCAGGCUCAUAAGCCACCUGGCUGCCUCUGUUCUGAACGGCCCCCAGCCUGAUGAGGUAGAGCCUGGGCAUCCUCAGCUUCUGUUUCAACCUGACAGGGUUGGAGCCCUCAUGUCAUAAGCAUGGAUGUGCUUUGCCUAUUUGGCCUACAGGCUGAUGGAGGGUGAGGGGUCUCAGAGGACCUGCACACUGCCAGGAGGUUUAGGGGUGCUCCCGUACACAUGGGCAAUUCUAGCCAGGUCAUUGGUUCUGGGCUUGCUGGGUCAGCGUGCUAUCACAGGCUUCAGUCCCUCACACUGCGGAUGGCUCCUCCUGGCAUGUGGUUACUCUUGCCUCAUAAUGAGGGGGGCGUUGUGCUCAACCCACCCGCCGUGCUUCUCCUAGGCCCGAAUCACCCACUCAAGAAACUCAUUCCAGAGGCAAAGUAGCCAGAUGGCUUGUGGAAUGGGAGAGUCUCAGGAGGCAGGCAGUCCUCAGGAAAAAGAGUGCUUGGUGUUGUCACCGUGAGAAAUGGGAUGUCUGUCCCCAGGCGCCUGGUGGGUGAUUUUUUUUUUUUUUUUUUGCCUCCCUUGGCCCAGCCCUGAAUGAACCGGUGCCCAGCCAUCUUUGGGAAGUUGCCGUAGGGUUUAGGAAGAAGAGGGGACUGCUGGAGCAGAGGAGCAGCUGUGGAGGUCACUGCUUGCCACCCACACCCUGCACAAAGGCAGAAAGCAUGCAUGGCUCUAGCGUCACAGUUCCCCAGCGUCCUAAACAAUCACGACGUGGCUGGCCCAGCAACUCCACCCCCAGGUGUUCAGACCAGACCUUUGAAUGUCAGUAUCCAUGGCAGAAGUAUUGACAGAAGGCAGAGGCAGCCUCCUUGCCCAUCAGUGGUUGUAUGGAUCAGCAAAGUGUGGUCUAUCUAUUCACUGGGAUAGUACUGUCCAAUCGACUUGUUGGAAAAGCAGUAAAGUAUCAAUACAGGGUAAUAAACUUUGAAAGGAGCCAGCUCCAAUAGGCCACAUACUGUAAAUGACAGGAAAUACACCCACUAGACACAUCAACAGGGACAGAGUAGCUGUUGUGAGGGGUGUCAGGGAGGGGAGGGACUUAGCUCUCCUUUGGAGUGGCAGAAGUGUUCUAGAGGCGAUAGAGGCUGUGGCUGUACAGCACUGGCCACCGCAGGUGUGAUGCUUGGUGUGGAGUGUUUCUACAGUAGGACGUAGAGGACAAAAAGGAGAAAACAGGGAAGUCCUUUCCUUUAUUUUGUUCUGUUUGUUUAGUUUGAGAAGGGUUUCUCUAUGUCUGUCUCCCUGGCCGUGUGCUACCACCCCCCAGCUUUAGGGGACGUUCUUAUUUUAAGUUCAGCCACAAUGACUGAAGUACAGUAAGACUGAACAUGUUGGCUCACACAGUGAGAUUCUGUCUCAAAACAACAACAAACCAGCAAGAGGCUUCGUGGGGCCUGGGCCUGGGGCAGUCCUAGCAGGCACAGGAGAUUGGGUGCGGUGGGGCAGAGAGCAGGGACCCAAUUCUGUCCUGAGCCACAGCACACACUGGGGUCUUUAUAGAGUCAGAGUUAACAGAGAACAGAGAUGGAGACAGGGUGUCUCCCUCUGAUGGUGUGCCAAGCCAAGUGACAGCUGCUGAGGGAGGCUGGCUGUGGGGGGAGGGGCCUUUACUCCCCAGAUUCUGUUACGGAUUUAGUGGCUCAGCAAAUUGUGGUAUUUGGGGACUUUCAUCUCUGUCAUCUGUUCUCAGCCAUCACUGCAGGCAAAUGGCUUCUUUCCUUCCUCACCUAGACUCCCCUCUUCCGGUGGAUGCAGUCGCAGUGCUAGCCGGGCACCCAGAGACACUGCAUACAGGGGACAACCACAUGUCCAGGAGCUGAAUCAGCCUGAAACAAUGUCCCUCAGGCCCCCGGUCAUCUGGGAAAUGCAGUCUCUAGACUGAAGCCAAGCCAAGAAAGUGACCCAGGAGGUUGCAGGCAGCCUGGGCUGGCUGGCAUAGAAUUGAGGUGCAGAACUGGGACUGUGUGUGGGAGGGUCAGAAGCAGCCGGUGAAGCUAGUGAGUACUCUCUGCUGUCUGGUCACAGGAUAUGGGCUGGAGAGAGAUGAGAGGUACCUCUCGUGCUGGGCAUCGACCCCCAGAGCCACACCCCACGGGAUGCCACUCGCCCUAGCUCACACGGAGGGCUGCACGCCUGUAGCUCUUUUCUGUGAGUUCUGCUUCAGGAUGCUGAGCCUCAGAGGGCAGCUCUUUCAAAACCCUGCUGGGGAAACGCUGCUUCUGUUUUGGUCAGGGUUGCAUCACAGCUGCUUCUGAAGUGAGCUGAGGAGUCUGGCUCCUGUGUAAGCUGGAGACCGUGGUGCUGCACUUCCUGUCUGGGUAGCUGGUAAGGGACAGGGCAAAACCAUACAGCAGUCACGAAAGCCUAGGGCCUCGGUCAUGGCUAGGACCUGCCUCCACCCUAGCCUCAGCUGCUUUGGUGUACAGGCAGGGAGGCUCACUCCACCCGCUCUGUGCCCUUCUUUCUCCUUAAAUGCUUCCACCAUCUUCCCUGCCUAAUUGACUGUCCCCACUGAGCACGCGCUGUCCAGAGCAGCAGCGCCCAACCUUCCUGAUACUUCUGCCCCGAUACACAGCGCCUCAUGUUGUGGUGACCCCUGACCAGAAAAUUAUUUUCAUUGCUACUCCAUAACUGUAAUUCUGCUACUGCUGAGAACUGCAAUGUGAAUAUUCUUGGAGAUAGGGAUUUGCCAAAGGGGUGGUGAGCUACAGGUUGAGAACCUCUAGAAAGCGCAUGCCAGUGAACCAGCCCUUGCAUCCUAUGCUGGGCAUGGACCACACAGAAGAGGCCUGGUCAUGUUGGCUGAGUGAAUGUCCCCAAGGAGGUGGCAUCUGGGCUGAGUCUCAAGGAUGAACGGGACUCUCGCAAGAGCCUCCCCGGCUUUAUUUUCUCCUUCUUAAUUAUUGCUGCAUGUUCACUAGAUUUUGUAUUUACCACAGAGAGGUAGCACCCACCUAUGUGGUUUUAAUGACAGAUAAUGAUGUAAUCAGUGUCCCCAUUCAAGCAUGAGGUUCUAGCACAUUCUUAACCACUUCUAAGAGAUCCCUCAAUACUCCACAGGCGACCGACCGAGUCUUCACGUGAGGAAUGGAGAACGCACACUCUUGGCCUCAACCCUUGUCAAACCUGUCAAGAGUCCAGUCCCCUCACACAAGCGACAGGUGGGCGUCAGCUCAGCUUGCUCCACCUCCACUGCCUACGCAGAGCAGAGCCGGUUCUCCAGACAGCUCUGUCUCAGCCUCUCCUGGUGACCACUGUGGCCUGACAGGUUUCUGUCUUCUCUGCCCCACACCCUGCUUGCUUCACACACAUUCCGCACGUGCACAUCACAGCCUCUGUGCUCUGAGCAGAGUCUGGAACAGACACUCAGAGGCCUGCCCCUCCCUGCUGUCGCUCACUCUCCCUUGCUCUCAAGCCGGGUCACAGGCCCUGGGGUAUCCACACAGACUGGACUGUGGAGCUCUGCUGUGCUUCCCCUAGAAUGGGACAGGCCCGGCAAGCCUACCUCCUGCGUGUGGCUCAGUGCUUUGGGGCGCUACAGAGAGCGCGGGAGCCACAGUGCGAUGGUAAAGGAGCAAAAAGACAGCCUCUGGGUGGCAUGGCUAGGGGAGGGGACCUGCAGCAAGAGUGGAAGCCAGGCUGGGGGUCGGGGGGACCCAAAGUGUAGGCACCUGGGUCUAGAGGGACCGGGGCAGCAGAGCAACAGAACAGGGAAACAGGCCACACAGUUCAGGGGAGUGUGGCUAUUCUCAGUCAUAGUGAACAUGCCUAACCGUCUCAAGACGGAGCUGAGAGACUGGGAACUUUGAUCCCCAGCAAUGAAACAAGACAACGUUGAGCUGAGAUCCUGGGUGCCGAGAACAUGGAAGAUAGCAAGGUAUCCCAGGGAACUUUUUGAGGAGAUGGGAAGAAGGAGAGUGGACCUCUGGCUUCCUUCACAGGAGCACAGGACCAACAAAGUGGUUCUGUAGGUGAAGGCGCUGCCCAGCCUGGACAAGCCGAGUUCAGUCCCCAGCACCCGAUGGUGGAGGAGAGAGCGGACUUCUUUAACAUGCACACAUAUGUGAAAACAUGCAAACAAGUUCACUGUAAAAAUACACAAACACACAGAACAGUCACAGAUAAUCUUGAAUAUACAGAUGUGAUAAACUAUAUAAAUAGAUAAAUUAUUCAAGUAGGUAAAUGGCUUAAAGAGGUCUCUCAGGUGGACCUAAAAAUGCAACCAUAAGCUCCUCAGAGAGACCUAUAAAUCACAACAGUUGGGGUGGAGGAAGCACUCAGUGGUUAGAGCCCUGGCUGGUCUUCUACAAGACCCAGGUGUGGUUCCCAGCACUCACAGGGCAGCCCACAACUCUCUGUACCACCAGACCCAGAGGAUCCGUGAUUUCUUCUGAUAGACAUCAGAAACACACAUGAUGCACAUACAUAUAAUAUUGGUAAAAAGAAAUCUAUAAUUUAAAAAUGUAAUCAAGUCAAAUAAUGAUGCUAGGGAUUGUACCAAAUUAACACAAUGUCUUAACCCUAAACACGUGUUUAGAGAUAAGCACUCUACCCCAAGCCAAAAGUGGCACCUUGACCGAAGACACACAGCUUGCUCUGUCUCUCCAUCAUGGAGGAGAUGGUGAGAAGGCCACCCUUGCCAGAGCCCACCGUGCUGACUGAGCUGGACAUCACGGAAGCCGUGAGAACACACACUUCCACAGAAGUAAGAGUGGUUCCUUGCUCAGCCCACCCCACAGAGAGCAGCACAGCACACUGGAGUAGUGUGAACAUUGGUUCUUGACAGCUUCAUGACAAGAGGCACAUUCCACUUCAGAAACGAGGCCUGGUGUCACAACAGAGGCAGGACUCAAACCUAGUGACCCAGGCAGGAGUCUUAACCUCUGAAUACGAUGUCGCUAUCAUCUGUGCCUGAGCAGGGAGCACUGGGUACUGUCUAUGCUUUAUCAAAAGUGCCCGCUAUAGUGUCUGACACAGAUUAGGGGCACACCAGCAUCUGUGGAGUGAUUUUUUUUAAUGACAUGAUUAAGAGAGCAGCUGCAGCUAA